UAGAUAGAAAGAUUAAACUGAAGAGUUUGAUCAUGGCUCAGAUUGAACGCUGGCGGCAGGCUUAACACAUGCAAGUCGAACGAUGACUCUCUAGCUUGCUAGAGAUGAUUAGUGGCGGACGGGUGAGUAACAUUUAGGAAUCUGCCUAGUAGUGGGGGAUAGCUCGGGGAAACUCGAAUUAAUACCGCAUACGACCUACGGGUGAAAGGGGGCGCAA
rnacentral:rRNA from 1 species